rnacentral:rRNA from 1 species
AAUCUUGCACAAUGGGGGAAACCCUGAUGCAGCGACGCCGCGUGAGUGAAGAAGACACUCGGUCUGUCCAGCUCUAUCAGUAGGGACGAUAAUGACGGUACCUGACUAAGAAGCCCCGGCUACCUACGUGCCAGCAGCUGCGGUAAUACGUAGGAGGCAAGCGUUAUCCGGAUUUACUGGGUGUAAAGGGAGCGUAGUAGGCAUGGUAAGCCAGAUGUGAAAACCCGGAACUUAACUCCGGGAUUGCAUUUGAAACUGCCGUGCUAGAGUGCAUGAGAGGUAGGAGGAAUUCCUAGUGUAGCGGUGAAAUGCGAAGAUAUUAGGAGGAACAUCGGUGGCGAAGGCGGCUUACUGGACUGUAACUGACACUGAGGCUCGAAAGCGUGGGGAGCAAACA